UAAGGAAUAUUGGUCAAUGGACGCAAGUCUGAACCAGCCAUGCCGCGUGAAGGAUGACGGCCCUCUGGGUUGUAAACUUCUUUUAUCUGGGACGAAAAAAGGUCAUUCUUGAUCACUUGACGGUACCAGAGGAAUAAGCACCGGCUAACUCCGUGCCAGCAGCCGCGGUAAUACGGAGGGUGCAAGCGUUAUCCGGAUUUACUGGGUUUAAAGGGUGCGUAGGUGGGUCUGUAAGUCAGUGGUGAAAUCUCCGAGCUUAACUCGGAAACUGCCAUUGAUACUAUAGGUCUUGAAUUAUCUGGAGGUGAGCGGAAUAUGUCAUGUAGCGGUGAAAUGCUUAGAUAUGACAUAGAACACCAAUUGCGAAGGCAGCUCACUACGGAUCGAUUGACACUGAGGCACGAAAGCGUGGGGAUCAAACAGG
rnacentral:rRNA from 1 species